rnacentral:misc_RNA from 1 species
GUUCGAGCGUCAUUUCAACCCUCAAGCGUAGCUUGGUCUUGGGCCAUGCCGGAGACGGCCGGCCUUAAAACUAGUGGCGGUGCCGCCGGGCUCUACGCGUAGUAAUUGUUCUCGCGUUUGGGUCCCGGUGGACGCUGGCCAGCAACCCCAAUUUUUUAAUGGUUGACCUCGGAUCAGGUAAGGAUACCCGCUGAACUUAA